rnacentral:misc_RNA from 1 species
CUCUCUCUCUCUCUCUCUCUGCAAGGAAAAAUGUCCGCGAAUCAUCAGCACAUGCUCCGCCUAGUCCUCUCGUGCCGCAAAAUCACGGCGCAGGUCACGAACCCCACGACCUCCACCAUCAUAGCCAUGGCCUCCUCCACGGAGCAAGAAUUCCUCGCCCAGUACCGCACCAGGCUCAACCGCUUCCCGCGAUCCCACAACUUCUGGGACGCCAAAAUGGCAUCCCGUGUCGGCGAGAAGCUAGGGUUCCGCCUCAAGGAGAUUGGCGUUACCAGCAUCAAUAUCGACCUCGACGAGGAGCUUUCUCGCCCAAUUCAUCACAGGAAGAGAGUUUUGCCGCUGUUCGAUUCAGUGAAACGCCUGGGUGUCGCCGUCGAUGGAGUAGAGAAAUUAGGAGAGAUUGGGCCUGCGUAGAUUGCGCUUUUAAGGUGAGCACUGAAUCGAGAGAUCAUAUUUUUGGUGUGAGUGAGAUACAGGAAAGGUAUACCACUAAAUUUUGAUGGAGUGGUGCUCAUUAUUGUAUUUCAUUAGGUUUAUACUUGUAUUGAUCAUUGGUAUAGUAAUAAUGUAUCUGAUUUUUCAGAAAACGAAACAAACAAUGAAAUUGAUAAUUUUUCUUCAAAAAGUCUUCUUUGUUUCCGAUGAUAUUUUUGCCGAUCAAUUAAUGGGUGUGUCCAUAUAUGUAGAAGAAGGUUGCAAUUUGGAUUUGGUAAAUGAUUGAGAGCAAUUCUGGUUCACUUUUUGGACUGAUUGUUGAUUUUAAUUGGGUUAUUUGUUCUCCUUUAUGGACUGGUUCAGUUUAAGCAUAGAAAGUCUUCUUGUUGAUUGUUGUAUACAAAUUUUUCCUUUUGUAAUGUCAAUCAAUGAGUGUGUCCAUACAUGUAGAAAACGUUUGCAAUAUAAGAUUUGGG